rnacentral:lncRNA from 1 species
UGUGUGUGUGUAUGUGUGUCCAUUAUAACCUUGGUCCAACUAAAAAUAAAGUGGGAUCGGAGCUGGCCGUCCCGCGGAGCAGCCCGAGAGGCUGCAAUCAGAGCAUUGUGAUUAGUGGUCAGAGCUGCUGUCAAAGGAGCGUGACCAGGUCAUCUUCCCCAGGACUACGGCAGCUCCAGUGAAGACAAAACGUAGGGCUUCUGUGACCUUUGCUAUUUCUAUUGUUAGGCUUUUAGUUUUAAUCCAAAAAUAUGCAGGAUUUACAGUUAUUGUUGUCAGAAACUUCCAGAAGAAUCAACAAAGUGAAGUGGAAAGAAGCACAUCAGGGAGGUCCGGCCUCGGGGUUUGGCCCCUGGUCUUCCAUCUGCUUGGAAUCUGCUUUGGACACGUAUCCGCCCGGCUUGUUGCCUCAAUGAUGCAGGUGACGUACAAGAAGAAGCAGGCUGUCUCCACUAAGCAUCUGGGGCCCAGCUGCUGCCCUUUGCCACCACGGGGAGGCAGCAGACCAACACCCACAUGUGGAACACACUUGGCACCCUACAGUGACCUCGUGGGUGUAAUGGUCAGUGCUUCACUGCCUCUUCCAAAUCGCACGCAAAUUUCUCCUGUGGCUAACUCUAACCCAGAACCAGACGGUGAAGGGAAUUCUGGGAAAUCAGCUCCACCUUAGCUAAACAAAAAGCCGCUGUACCAGGUUUCAUCCUGUCAAUGUAUUUGUAGAUGCCUUUGAUUUUUCUUUAUAACACUAAAUACAGAAUAAUUCGAAUAUACAAGAGAAUAUAAAUACAGAGUCUUUCCAUGGUUUCCUUUAUGAAAUUACUAACUUUCUGUCAUCUUGAGUACCCAGUCAUCUUGGAUCAUUUCUUGCCAUGUGCUUAUUGGGAUGAAUUAAAACUACUGGCCUAUUUGUAUUUCACUUAUAUAUAUGAAAUGUUGAGUCUAUUCCUUAUACUUGCAGCAAAAACAGAUCCUCUGUGGUAUGUAUUUCAUGUAAAUGAGGAUUAGACAAACUUCAGGAUCCAUUUGGCAUUAGUAUCUGUGUAACAAUAGGCUUAUGUAUUUAUGGAGCUAGGUAGGUAUGUCUACAUGCUUGUUCUAACUCUCUCUCUAUAUAUAUGACCAGAUAGUGCUAUAGAGACUUAAGAACAGUCUUGAUGACUAUACAGACAGAUAUCUAAAAACCGAGAGCUGAGAAAUUGGUGUUGUAACUUCUGAGUAAUUAUUUCAACUACUGGACACCUGUCACUAAUCCAAAAGCCAAAGGAAUUGGCAGUUUUGUAUAAGACGUUCCUUCACUUUGGCUUCUUAAGAUGACAGAGGUAGUUGUAGAUAGGAAAUGUAGAAACAGCAAAAAAAAAAAAAAAAAAAAAAGAA